GGCCCCGUGGUGCAAUCUGUUACCACACCAGUCUGACACUGGUGGUCCCCGGUUGGAGUCCAGGCCAAAUCA